GAUGAACGCUGGCGGCGUGCCUAAUACAUGCAAGUCGAGCGAACGGACGAGAAGAUUGCUUCUCUGAUGUUAGCGGCGGACGGGUGAGUAACACGUGGAUAACCUACCUAUAAGACUGGGAUAACUUCGGGAAACCGGAGCUAAUACCGGAUAAUAUUUUGAACCGCAUGGUUCAAAAGUGAAAGACGGUCUUGCUGUCACUUAUAGAUGGAUCCGCGCUGCAUUAGCUAGUUGGUAAGGUAACGGCUUACCAAGGCAACGAUGCAUAGCCGACCUGAGAGGGGGAUCGGCGACACGAGAACGUGGCCACGGUCCAGACGCCUACGGGAGGCAGCAGUAGGGAAUGUUACGCAGAGGGGGAAAACCUGGCGGAGCGAGGCCGAGUGAGUGGUGAAGGUCUUCGGAGCGUAAAACUCUGUUAUUAGGGAAGAACAUAUGUGGAAGGAACUGUGCACAUCUUGACGGUACCUAAUCAGAAAGCAACGGCUAACUACGUG
rnacentral:rRNA from 1 species